AAAAACAUAAAUCAAGAAAAAUUGCAAGGGAGAGUCGUAAGGAAGCCCUACCGUAGUGGCGUCGAUCUGCCCUUCGCCGACGGCUCCACCGCCUCCUCCUCUCGGAGCCGGACCACCCGAUCUCACCUCCUACGCGGCCGUGCGUUUUCUCUCUACGCCUUCCUGUCUCAUCUAAGUCUCUUGCGCACCCCGCUGCCGUGAUCCGCUCCCGAACCCUUCCUAAGCCUGGGGCCUCCCUUCGAUCGCUUCGGCCGAAGCCUGUCUUGCGCUGUUGAUGCUCCUUUCGCAGUCGCGAACGAUGUCCACUGCCCUCUCGAAAUCCUCGGGAGACUUGAGUAAUAUCGCUCACCUCCUAGGUGAUUAUCAUUGAACUUUUGAGAUUGUUGGCCUUAUUGUGGAAGUUAAAUGGUUCGUGAAGAAAGAGAUGAUAAAGGGUAACCAUAGAGGAAGUAACUAAUUUAUCCCUGCGUACUGGUUCAUCAUCAUAUGCUGGAUGGAAGAUUUUAAUUUUGCUGUUGGGCGGCAAUUCCCUGAUGUCAAAACUUUUAGGAAGGCGAUAAAAGAAGCUGCUAUUGCACAACAUUUUGAACUUAAGAUUAUAAAGAGUGAUCUGAUUCGCUACUUUGCCAAGUGUGCCAAGGAAGGUUGUCCAUGGCGAAUUCGUGCUGUAAAGCUGCCAAAUGUACCAACUUUCACCAUAAGAAGCAUUGAAGGGACACAUACUUGUGGCAAAGAUGCACAGCUAAGUCGUAAUCAGGCAUCUGUUGACUGGAUUGUCAAUCUCAUAGAGGAGCGGCUACGAAGCAAUGUUAAUUACAGGCCAAAGGACAUACUUCAAGACAUUCAGAAACAGUAUGGGAUUAGUAUUCCAUACAAGCAAGCUUGGAGAGCGAAAGAAAGAGGUCUGACUGCCAUAUAUGGAUCCUCUGAAGAGGGUUACAGUCUUCUUCCAGCAUACUGUGAGCAGAUAAAGCUAAGAAACCCUGGAAGUGUUGCUCAAGUAUUUACUACAGGUUCGGACCAUCGUUUCCAGAAAAUUUUUGUUUCGUUUAAUGCAUCAAUUCAUGGCUUUUUGAAUGGUUGUUUGCCCAUCAUUAGCCUUGGUGGAAUUGAACUCAGAAGUAAGUAUCUUGGCACGCUGCUUUCUGUGACAUCAUUUGAUGCUAAUGGUGGAAUGUUUCCAGUUGCUUUUGGUAUUGUUGAUAUGGAGACAGAUGAGAGUUGGAUGUGGUUCUUGUCAGAGUUCCAUAAACUACUAGAUACGAGCACUGAAACCAGACCUCAGCUUAUUGUACUAUCCAAUGGACAGACAGUUGUUACUGAAGCUGUGAGAAGAAAAUUUGCUACUGCAUGCCAGGGAAUAUGCAUGCGACACUUAACAGAAAGCAUGAACAAAGAAUUCAAGAACUCAAGGCUUGUUCAUCUUCUUUGGAAGGCAGCUUAUUCUGUCACCACCAGUGGCUUUAGGGACAGGAUGGCAGAAAUUGAAGAAGUCUGUGCAGGAGCAGCCAAAAGGAUUCAGCAAAUUCCAGCUAACCAUUGGGCAGUGGUUUAUCUUGAAGGUCCACGCUAUGGACAUCUUUCUUCAAACAUUGAGGAGUUCAAUAGAUGGAUACUUGAAGCUCGUGAACUACCUGUUAUUCAAGUUAUCGAAAGCAUCCAUGGCAAAUUGAUGAAGGAAUUUAGCGAACGCCAUGAAAAGGGUUUAAAAUGGACGUCUAGACUUGCCCCUGCAGCUGAAAGACACAUUUCGGAAGCCAUUGAGUGGGCUGUUGGAUACCAAGUGCUUCGUUCUGAUGAAGUAGAAUUUGAGGUUCUGUCAGCUGAUUGUUCCAGUAUUGUAAAUAUUGGCAUGCGCUCUUGUUCUUGUCGUGAGUGGCAGUUGCAUGGCAUACCCUGUUCUCACGCUGUUGCAGCCCUCCUGUCAUGUAAGAAAGACAUCUAUGAAUAUACAGAGAAGUACUUCACUGUCACGAAGUAUCGGGAGACAUAUUCUAAGCCAGUGUAUCCAAUUCCAGACAGAAGCGAGUGGAAUAAAGCCACCGAGGGUCAGGCACACAAUGAAAAUCAAGUGGUUCGUCCACCGAAGUUUCGUCGUCCUCCAGGACGCCCUGAAAAGAAACGGCUUUGCAUGGAGGUGAGCAAUCGUGAAAAACAUACCGUGCAUUGUAGUCGGUGUAGCCAAACAGGACACUACAAAAGAACAUGCAAAGCAGAUGUCAUCCAGAAGACAUAACCUGUUGGUAUCUUGAUGGCCAACUGUAUAUCCCAUUAGUUUUGUUGGAGGCAUAUGUAACAUAUCAGGUUUGCCCGAACUGCCAGUUGCGGGGGGUGAUGUGCCAAGAGGUGGAGCGGCGGCCGUCGCUGGCGGUGACCCGGAACGAC